ACCUCCGUAGCUUAGUUGGUAGAGCAACAGGGCAUAAACCUUGAAGACCUGAGAGACCUGGGUUCGUAUCCCAGUCGAGGUU